rnacentral:rRNA from 1 species
CCUACGGGAGGCUGCAGUAGGGAAUAUUGCUCAAUGGGGGAAACUCUGACGCAGCAACGCCGCGUGGAGGAUGAAGGUCUUCGGAUUGUAAACUCCUUUUGUUAGAGAAGAUCAUGACGGUAUCUAACGAAUAAGCACCGGCUACUUCCGUGCCAGCAGCCGCGGUAAUACGGAGGGUGCAAGCGUUAUUAGGAAUCACUGGGCGUAAAGAGCGCGUAGGCGGGAUAGCAAGUCAGCUGUGAAAUCCUAGGGCUUAACCAUAGCACUGCAUUUGACACUGUUAUUCUAGAGUAUGGGAGAGGUAGGUGGAAUUCUUGGUGGAGGGGUAAAAUGCGUAGAGAUCAAGAGGAAUACUCAGUGCGAAGGCGACCUGCUAGAACGUAACUGACGCUGAUGCGCGAAAGCGUGGGGAGCAAACAGGAUUAGAUACCCGGGUAGUC